GUAUUUUCCUAACAUUUUUUCUGCAGCUUCGGAAACCCUAAUUCCCCCCUCUGAGAUUCUUCAAGUAACAGUAGAGCUAAAUAUGGGAGAAAACAAGGAGAACGAUGCUUAUGAGGAGGAGCUUCUCGACUAUGAAGAAGAUGACGAAAAAAUUCCUGAUUCUACCACAAAAGUCAACGGCGAGUCGUCCAAAAAGGGUUACGUUGGGAUUCACAGUUCAGGUUUCAGAGACUUUCUUCUAAAGCCAGAGUUGCUGCGUGCUAUUGUUGAUUCUGGGUUUGAGCAUCCGUCCGAAGGUAAUUACUCAUAUCACUACUAAUUUGGAGAUGUACCAUGGUAAAAUUUUUAAACUGAAACUGAGGCCUCGUUGCCCCCAAUGUGUUUGGUUCAUCAUCAGUGCAACAUGAGUGCAUUCCGCAAGCUAUUCUGGGUAUGGAUGUCAUUUGCCAAGCUAAAUCUGGAAUGGGAAAAACCGCUGUUUUUGUCCUUUCAACUCUGCAACAGAUUGAACCAGUUGCUGGCCAAGUUGCUGCCCUUGUUCUAUGUCACACUAGGGAAUUAGCUUAUCAGAUCUGU
rnacentral:misc_RNA from 1 species